GUGUAUAAUGUGUUCCUGUUGACUGUCUUGAUCCAUAGAGAGAGGCUUUUGCAUAUCUGAAGAAACAAUUUGGAGUCAUACAAUGCAAGGUAUCCUGUUUCAAAGUGAAGAAAGAAUGCAGAAGUUUAGUUUGGUGUGAGCCUACUGAGAAAUCAAGACCCUCUCCUUUUCUUUCCUUCUUGCUGAAUUAAGGGCAAACUAUUUUUGCACUUUGAACUCAGCUUGCAGCAACUGGAGUAACCAGGUCACAGCCAGGUCUCGCUAAAAUUCAUCGAACGCAGUCGCAGAGGGGCAGCUGGUGGUCUCUAAAGCACAUGGCAAGAGACUCAAUUCCACCCUCAUCAGAGAGUCUGGAAUAAGUUACUCUUUUUGGAACGACCUUUGAUCUAGCCGCGAUGCCGCCUGGAGAGUUUCCAACUUUACAAAAUGGCCGGCUGCACGAGGCUUCGACCCGGGAUGCACCAGGCAGCGGCAUCAUGACCAUAUCGGCAGCAAUUUAAGUCUGAUAACAUCCAGGGACAUCCCAGAUCCUGAACUGAAGGUGGAAGAGAUAAAACAAAUUAUUUCUUCAUGUGAUAAGAACCUUAGUCUGUUUCCUAGUUGAUUAUUUUUAAUAAUGUAAUUCUGUUUCUCACUUGAUCUGUAAAUUCUUUUGAGAUGUUCUGCAGAUCGUAUUUUGGCAUGAUGUGACCAUUCUAUAAACAGGGGCUCUCAUUUCCUACUUUUAAGCCAUACACAUGAGACAACAGAAGAAGAAGAAUUUGCUGAAGCAGCUAAAACCAGACCAUAUAAGGGGAAAACCAACAGCCACCUGGUGCUGAAGAUCCAUCUGGAAUUGAUGAGCCAGACAUUGGAGAGGAAAAACAAGCUACAGUAUAGAGAAAUAUAGAUAAGAGCAAAGGAGGAAAUUUCACGGUCAGCGUGACCCUCAGUAUAUCACAGCUACAUACCAAAGCAAAAAGCUGUGAAAUUGCUGACUGUACAGGAAAUAAGAUAUAGUGACUAUGUAUAAGAUUUCAACCAAUCAAGAAUGACCAACAUGGCUUUAGCGGAGCAAUCAGACCCCCUCCCCUUCGUAUUAGCAGUAUGUAUAUAAGACACUAUGUACGGAUGUGAGAGCUAGACAGUGAAGAAAGCUAAUGGAAAGAAAAUCAACUAAUUUGAGAUAUGGUUCUGGAGAAGAGUGCUGAGG